rnacentral:rRNA from 1 species
AUUGAACGCUGGCGGCGGGCCUAACACAUGCAAGUCGAGCGGAGCGGCGGACGGGUGAGGAAUGCCUAGGAAGCUGCCUGGUAGUGGGGGAUAACGUCCGGGAACGGGAGCUAAUACCGCAUACUAGCAGAUCAGCCUAGGUCGUAUUAGCUAGUUGGUGGGGUAAAGGCCUACCAAGUCGACGAUCCGUAACUGGUCUGAGAGGAUGAUCAGUAACACUUGAACUGAGACACGGUCCAGACUCCUACGUGAGGCAGCAGUGGGGAAUAUUGGACAAUGGGCGAAAGCCUGAUCCAGCAAUGCCGCGUGUGUGAAGAAGGUCUUCGGAUUGUAAAGCACUUUAAGUUGGGAGGCGUUACCAAAAGAAUAAGCACCGGCUAACUUCGUGCCAGCAGCCGCGGUAAUAC